rnacentral:rRNA from 1 species
AGUCGCGUGAGGGAAGACGGUCCUAUGGAUUGUAAACCUCUUUUGCAGGGGAGCAAGGCGCGGUACGUGUACCGCGAAGGAGAGUACCCUGAGAAAAAGCAUCGGCUAACUCCGUGCCAGCAGCCGCGGUAAUACGGAGGAUGCGAGCGUUAUCCGGAUUUAUUGGGUUUAAAGGGUGCGCAGGCGGACUGUUAAGUCAGCGGUAAAAUGUCGGUGCUCAACACCGGCCGGCCGUUGAAACUGGCAGCCUUGAGUGAGCGAGAAGUAUGCGGAAUGCGUGGUGUAGCGGUGAAAUGCAUAGAUAUCACGCAGAACUCCGAUUGCGAAGGCAGCAUACCGGCGCUCAACUGACGCUCAGGCACGAAAGCGUGGGUAUCGAACAGGCUUAGAUACCCUGGUAGUCCACGCAGUAAACGAUGAAUGCUCACUGUCCGGGCCGUUUAAGGCCUGG